CAAAUUAGUUCAGACUUCCACCCGGUCUGCAUUUGUAUUACAUAACUGUAAUUGUUACUGUACUACUUUGUAUAUUGUCGUAAUCUGCACUGCGGCACUUGUGUGAAGCACUUUGCACUGUGGUCUUUUUAAAUGAGCUACAGAAAUAAAUUUUGACUGAUUGACUUUGAGUUACUCAGCUGAUUAUGAUAUUCAAUGCAAUUUAAUGACACCUGGCCAUAUCAGACAUAUUAAAAAAAAGUGAGUACAUCUGAAAUGUCAGUUGUGUAAAGGUUUAAUACCCACAAAUGCAGCAAGUACUGUGGGACAACGUAAAAGGCAGGAAGUCAAAAAGCAAAGUAGGGUUACAGCGGGCAGUUUGGAUUAUUAUUUUGUGUUUUUUGUUCAUUUUUUGAUAAUGUUAUUUAUUUACAACCAGUCUGUUAUAGUAGCAAUAUUUUUAUUUUUUUAAAUACUACAGUACUAGAGUGUUGUGGGUGAUAUAUUGAAAAUUUCCAGGCAUCAGUCCAACAUCUGGUGAUUGCUGCUAAAUUUUAGAUUUAAUGUGUGCAUGAAAGUGGGGAACUGGGGGUGUACACACCCACUCCCCACCUUCAUGCACACACUCACUCAUUGCAAUACAUUAUAAUAAAUCACCCAUUUGAGAUCAUUUAAGUUCUGAAUUAGAAAGAAAACUAUUACAACUUGGGAGAUAUUUUGUACGUGUCUGCUUUAAAUGAACAAACACGCGGUUGUAGCACAUUACAUUAAGUGAUCAGGGAACACAACCUGUAAUUUGCAGUGAUGCUGGUAAAUAAAUAAUGAUCUUAGAAAUUUGUUAAACACUUAAAUAGAGACUUCCUCCCUGGUGCUUUGUUGCGUUAACCUUGCAAUGCCGCUGCAUUCACUAGUCAUACAUUUCAUCAUCGUCAGUGCACAACUAUCCACUCUAGCUCAACGCAAUAAAAUGACUGGAGUAGGUACCUUGUAGUGCUUUGCAGCAAUCACACUUCACAAACUAAUUGUUUAAUGAGUUGAAUUCCCAAAGAGUAAACUCCUAAGUUACCAAAAUCAAACAACAACAAAAAAAAAAAAAAAAAAAAAAAAAAAAAAAUCACACAAACGAUCACCUAACAGUCCUAAAAUAGAAAAAGAAUAUCACCAAUGGACUUAUACAUCAUCAGAAAGCCUAUAUUUUUUCCCUAUUUGGCCAAUCUUAUACAGUACCAAAAUUUUUGAUUUGUCUUGAUGCAUGCUCAAUCAACCAAACAACCUCUGGUGAAGCGGAUGGCACAACACAGAAGAGCUACCUCGUCAGGCCAGGACUCUGCAGUUUAUUUACACCUACAGGCCAGUGGACACUCUUUCAAUGAUGAGGAUGUACACAUCCUGGACAGGGAGGAACGCUGGUUUGAGCGCAGAAUCAAGGAGGCCAUUUACGUGAAAAGGGAAAGACCAUCUCUGAAUCGAGGAGGGGGCCUAAGGGUACAUCUUUCGCCAUCUUACAAUGCUGUGAUUGCAGCCAUUCCCCAACUCUCUGUGAAUGGGACUCAUGG
ensembl:lncRNA